rnacentral:rRNA from 1 species
AGUAGUUUGAUCCUGGCUCAGGACAACGCUGGCGGCGUGCCUCAUACAUGCAAGUCGAACGAGAAGCAAGAGCUUGCUCUUGUGGAAAGUGGCGGACGGGUGAGUAAUGUGUAGGAAAUCUGCCCUAGAGUGGGGGACAACAGAGGGAAACUUCUGCUAAUACCCCAUAUGAGCGUACUUGAAAUAGUAUUCUUGAAAACUCCGGUGCUCUAGGAUGAGCCUGCAUCUGAUUAGCUUGUUGGCGGUGUAAUUGACCACCAAGGCGACGAUCAGUAGCUGGUUUGAGAGGAUGAUCAGCCACAAUGGGACUGAGACACGGCCCAUACUCC